rnacentral:misc_RNA from 1 species
GAUGAAGAACGUAGCGAAAUGCGAUACUUGGUGUGAAUUGCAGAAUCCCGUGAACCAUCGAGUCUUUGAACGCAAGUUGCGCCCGAAGCCAUUAGGCCGAGGGCACGCCUGCCUGGGCGUCACACGUCGUUGCCCCCCCAUCUACUCCUUCGGGAUUGCGGGGGGCGGAUGAUGGCCUCUCGUGCGCCCCGUCGCGCGGUUGGCCUAAAUGCCAAGUCCUCGGCGACGCACGCCACGACAAUCGGUGGUUGCGAAACCUCGGUUGCCUGUCGUGUGCGGUCGUCGCGCAUCGAGGGCUCGAAAAAAUUGCCGGGCUUCGGCUCGACUUUCAACGCGACCCCAGGUCAGGCGGGGUUACCCGCUGAAUUUAAGCAUAUCAAUAAGCGGAGGA